rnacentral:tRNA from 1 species
GAGAUUGUAGCUCAGUUGGUUAGAGCGCUAGAUUGUGGUUCUAGAGGUCGGGGGUUCGAGACCCCUCAUUCUCC